rnacentral:rRNA from 1 species
CGGCCGCUGCCUACCGUCGACGCGACGACUACGAUGGGAUGGGCGGCACUCUGCCACACAACUCCGCGCCGGUCAGAUCCGAGAUGCCCCAACCUUCUCUCCACCGUCCCCGCCACGGAUCCAAUGAGUCCAUCAUCACCACCACCCCUCGUCCCUCCCCUGCGAAAUCAACGCCGGGACGUCCAGCAGGGCGACAAGGGUGCCCGGGUCAACGCCCUCCUGCCCUCCUCUGACGUCCUCCUGCAAAGUCAUCCACCCGUUGCACCCAUCAUCCACUGUGUAGCCGGAGUUUGGCGUAGCCCACAUCUACAGCGGGGGCAGCUCGCGGCCCGCUUGGGUGCAGUUUCGGUAGCUGUUAUUUGCAAGUAUAUUUCCCUGAUCUCACAUUUUUUUGUCUGGACCCAUUUUCAUCUACGUGCAGUUCGCUUCGUAGGCGUCCGCUAUUCACUUCUUUUGGAAAAAACAAAAAAAGCUCUUUAAGGGUGGCCAUGCUGCCAUUUGCAGUUCACUGGAGGGGAAGAAAAGGUGCUCUCGUCAGGGGGAGUCGAUGCCGUGACCUUGCAGUACACAGCGAGCCACGCUGUAAUCACGUUGCUCGCGUGUACCAUGAAGUCCACUGUUUGCUCUCGUUUGUGACAAAUUUUUGGUGGUUAAAUUCUGUUUAUGAAAAACACAGAGGAGUACACUUUCUUUUUGGAUGUGCUUCGCUUGUACUGUGCGUUGGUUAACUUCCAUUUUUUUAAAAAUUUUGCACUUGCCAUGUUCAGUUUCAGAGAAGUUCUAAACUGUUGUAGAUUUGGAAUGGGCAUAUGUCGUGCAGUUUGUGAUCCAGGGUGGUGCAGAUGAUAUGCAGAUCGACACCAUGGUCAAAGAAGUGCGCGGCGUGGUGCAGUACGCAACGCCCAUAUUCCACUUAUUUUUCUUGAACUGGCUAGUGUUGAUUUUGUGUAUAUGUAUGUGUAUGUGGUUGUGUAAAACAACGGUGGGAUGUAUUGUGUAAAUGAGCAUCAUCAGCGGCCAUAGGAUAGUGGUGCAAAACAAAAUUGUGAGUGUAGUUUGGUUACAUCAACACCUACAGUGUGUUUGGUCGUCGGAUGUGGUUUACUUUUAAAAGUGAUGCUGUUCACUUGUGCUCAACAUGAAA